rnacentral:rRNA from 1 species
UGGGGAAUCAUUGGACAAUGGGNGCAANCCUGAUCCAGCCAUGCCGCGUGAGUGAUGAAGGCCUUAGGGUCGUAAAGCUCUUUCGCCNGAGAUGAUAAUGACNGUAUCUGGUAAAGAAACCCCGGCUAACUCCGUGCCAGCAGCCGCGGUAAUACGGAGGGGGUUAGCGUUGUUCGGAAUUACUGGGCGUAAAGCGCACGUAGGCGGAUUGGAAAGUUGGGGGUGAAAUCCCGGGGCUCAACCCCGGAACUGCCUCCAAAACUAUCNNUCUAGAGUUCGAGAGAGGUGAGUGGAAUUCCGAGUGUAGAGGUGAAAUUCGUAGAUAUUCGGAGGAACACCAGUGGCGAAGGCGGCUCACUGGCUCGAUACUGACGCUGAGGUGCGAAAGUGUGGGGAGCAAACAGGAUUA